GACGGAGGAUGCAAGCGUUAUCCGGAAUGAUUGGGCGUAAAGCGUCCGCAGGUGGCAGUUCAAGUCUGCUGUCAAAGACCGGGGCUUAACUUCGGAAAGGCAGUGGAAACUGAACAGCUAGAGUAUGGUAGGGGCAGAGGGAAUUCCUGGUGUAGCGGUGAAAUGCGCAGAUAUCAGGAGGAACACCAGUGGCGGAAGGCGGCUCACUGGACCGGUAUUGACGCUGAGGUGCGAAAGCGUGGGGAGCAAACAGG
rnacentral:rRNA from 1 species